UACGUAGGCAGCGAGCGUUGUUCGGAGUUACUGGGCGUAAAGCGUGCGUAGGCGGUGUCUUAAGUUUGCUGUGAAAUCUCCCGGCUUAACCGGGAGGGUGCGGCGAAUACUGAGAUGCUGGAGUGCCGGAGAGGUAAGCGGAAUUCCUGGUGUAGCGGUGAAAUGCGUAGAUAUCAGGAGGAACACCUGCGGUGUAGACGGCUUACUGGACGGUAACUGACGCUGAGGCACGAAAGCUAGGGGAGCAAACAGG
rnacentral:rRNA from 1 species